ensembl:lncRNA
AUGUUUAGUACAUUUACAUUGCUUCAAGGCAGAACAAUUCUUUACGGGUACACUUGGGCACCAUAUCCAUUACUAGGAAAAGCUAUCGGGUUUGGAAGUCUUCUGCAUAGAAACUGGCUUCGCAACGACCGCCAGGUGCCGGGGGGCCGCCCGGGCACAGCUGCGCCUCGUCCGGAGCCCGGGGCGGGGGCGGGGCCCCCCCAAAGCCUCUUAAGCUCCGCCGGAGGCCACCAGCAGCCACAAGGGAGUUCGCGAGGGGUUCUAGUGGCGUUUGGGGUGGCUGUUCCUGGCCUCGGGGUUCUCUUUAGCGUUCUCCGCUCGUCGCGGCGUUUCGUUUGGUUUCAGGCUGUGGCGAGAGCUGUCGCGGCGCGGCUCCAGGAGCGCGAUCUCGUUCCUGCGGCGGAGCGGCUCGCGGGACCGGCACGCUGCUGCGGCUGGCUGCGCUGUGUUGAGAACAGACGGAGCGGCGAGGCGGCAGAGUUGCUCUUCCCGCGGGAGAAGCGGCAGGUAUUGAGCCGUGCCCGGGGAUGGAUGGGGAACGAGCGCGGCGGUGGCCUGGGAGGAGAAGGCGGGGGACAUCAUCCAGCCCGGGACGAGGAGGCCGGCGAGAGCUCCGGCACGCAGCUGGAAGCAGCCUCCCGGCUGCGGGCAUCACUGCUCAGGGUGGGCUGGAACCGCCCUGCGGGGCGCGCUGGUUGCGGGAGAUUCCCGCAGGGUGUGGAAGGUACAAAUUCUGACUUUGUUUCUUACAGGAGCUGCUCGGAGGCAUCGCUCAGGUUACAGCAUCGGAAGCGGUCCCGCGAGUGGUGAUUGAAGCUGGAGCUUUGUUUGCUCUGUGCUCAGAAGGGUGGAUCCUAAAGGGGAAUAAGAGGAGGGAAAACAGUAGGAGUCCGGUGCGGGGCAGCAAGGGGCUUGUGGAUAACCUGGAAGGGGAGAAGGAAAAGAUGGGGCACAGAAGGCUGAGGCCUGCUCUGCUUCAUUGUCUGGGGAGGGAGGUGGAGGAUUGUAUGGGAACUGCAGAGUCAUGGCCUGAACCACUGACUGAGCACCUGGAGGAAAGACCCAGUCAGCCCUGGGAGCACAGGUGAAGGCAGUUCAGACCAGAAGGGGAGGAGCCGGGCAGCACCACUCUUAGGCGUCAUUUAAGGGCUGUCUGCCACUGAGGAAGGAUCUCUUUCUGGAGAUCCCUCCUUGGUGGAACCCUUUCCUUGUGAACCCAGAAUCUUCUGAAACAGGUGAGCAGUCUGCUUUCUUUCCAUUGUAGUGCCUUGCUAUUGUGUGGGUCCUUCCACCUCUUUUCUAACACCUUUUCCAUGGUGUUGCUCUUUAUGUUAAAUGUUGUAGUGAUCAGGAGUCUUUGAGUUUGUCAGCAGCAAGAAGGAGACCAGGGAAUGUGGAGGUGCUGACCACCUUCUCUUCUUCAGCAGGCACUGCUGAAAGCGCUCCUUGGGGAUCCUGGAGGAGGUGGUCUGCAAGUCCCUUGGCCCUAAGGGGAUACAGGUGUGCAUGCUGAGGAGAUAGCUCAAUAGCUGUCCAUCACUUUGUAUGGUCUUUCCUAUAGGAAAUGUGCCUGAGGACCAGAGGACAGCCAGUGUUGGUGCAGCCUUCAAACAGUGUGAGAAGCAUGGCCUCCCCUCCAUCCACAGUGAGGUGAGGGAACAACUUGCUCAACAUGUAAUCUCCUGGCACAGGGUAGAGAAGAAAAUCCUCUGGAGCUGUCCAGGUAGAUUCAGCAAGCUGUGAGGGAGGUGGAGCAAGCUGGUAGCGUUUGGAGAUUGUGGGGUUUGUGGUUGCAUGAGGGAGGAGCAGA